UACGGGGGGGGCAAGCGUUGUUCGGAAUUACUGGGCGUAAAGGGCGCGUAGGCGGCCAUCUAAGUCAGACGUGAAAUCCCUCGGCUCAACCGAGGAACUGCGUCUGAUACUGGAAGGCUUGAAUCCGGGAGAGGGAUGUGGAAUUCCAGGUGUAGCGGUGAAAUGCGUAGAUAUCUGGAAGAACACCAAAGGCGAAGGCAGCAUCCUGGCUCGUAUCUGACGCUCAUGUGCGAAAGCUAGGGGAGCGAACGGG
rnacentral:rRNA from 1 species